UACGUAGGGUGCGAGCGUUGUCCGGAAUUAUUGGGCGUAAAGGGCUCGUAGGCGGUCUGUCGCGUCGGGAGUGAAAACUCAGGGCUUAACCCUGAGCCUGCUUCCGAUACGGGCAGACUAGAGGUAUGCAGGGGAGAACGGAAUUCCUGGUGUAGCGGUGAAAUGCGCAGAUAUCAGGAGGAACACCGGUGGCGAAGGCGGUUCUCUGGGCAUUACCUGACGCUGAGGAGCGAAAGCGUGGGGAGCAAACAGG
rnacentral:rRNA from 1 species